rnacentral:hammerhead_ribozyme from 1 species
AUCCAGCUGACGAGUCCCAAACAGGACGGAACACGCGCCCUGGAU